AGCGGCGGACGGGUGAGUAACGCGUGGGAAUGUGCCCUUCUCUACGGAAUAGCCACUGGAAACGGUGAGUAAUACCGUAUACGCCCUCAGGGGGAAAGAUUUAUCGGAGAAGGAUCAGCCCGCGUUAGAUUAGGUAGUUGGUGGGGUAACGGCCUACCAAGCCUACGAUCUAUAGCUGGUUUUAGAGGAUGAUCAGCCACACUGGGACUGAGACACGGCCCAGACUCCUACGGGAGGCAGCGGUAGGGAAUCUUGGACCAUGGGGGCAACCCUGAUCCAGCCAUGCCGCGUGAGUGAAGAAGGCCCUAGGGUCGUAAAGCUCUUUCGCCUGUGAUGAUAAUGACAGUAGCAGGUAAAGAAACCCCGGCUAACUCCGUGCCAGCAGCCGCGGUAAUACGGAGGGGGUUAGCGUUGUUCGGAAUUACUGGGCGUAAAGCGCGCGUAGGCGGAUUGGAAAGUUGGGGGUGAAACCCCGGGGCUCAACCCCGGAACUGCCUUCAAAACUCCCAGUCUAGAGUUCGAGAGAGGUGAGUGGAAUUCCGAGUGUAGAGGUGAAAUUCGUAGAUAUUCGGAAGAACACCAGUGGCGAAGGCGGCUCACUGGCUCGAUACUGACGCUGAGGUGCGAAAGUGUGGGGAG
rnacentral:rRNA from 1 species